AUAGCUUUGAUAAAUCUUGUGCCAGCAUUCGCGGUAAGCCAAGUUAAGCUUAUAUCAAGGAGGAUAACUAGGAGCAAACAGUGAAUUUUUUCUUUAGACCAGCAGCAAGUGUAAGCCAUUAAACUUAGAGCUCUUUUAUCAGUAUCCAUAGGAGUGACAAGCCAGCAGAAGUAGUAGUGAAAUGUCAUCAUAGGUGCCAGGAGCAUAAGUGGUAGGGAGGUAGCUUGAGUUUUUUCGUAGAGUUAAUCACAGGGCAGUGUGUAGUGAACAGGAUUAGAUACCCUAGGUAGCACACUUAUUGACAGUUACUUUAUUGUUUGUGCAGCGGGUUUUAGCAUGUGUAGUAGGGUCCUAAAGAGUAAGUGUUUUUCCAUUAAACUUAAUUCGUGUGUUGGUGAUCCAGAUAGGUAUUGGAACAUAGGAGUGAAUCGAUGUUGUACGUUAUAUCUAACCAGUUAUUUGUUUGUGUGAAGUGAUAUUACUGGAGUAAGGAAGUGUGGGUUAUUGUUAGUUGAGUGCAUGGCUGUAGUAAG
rnacentral:rRNA from 11 species